GCAUUGGUGGUUCAGUGGUAGAAUUCUCGCCUUUCACGUGGGAGAUCAGGGUUCAAUUCCUGGCCAAUGCA